CAGUCGCCACGGUAAUACAGAGGCCUCAAGCGUUGUUCGGAUUCAUUGGGCGUAAAGGGAGCGUAGGCGGUCGGGUAAGUUGGAUGUGAAAUCCUGGGGCUCAACCUCAGAACUGCAUUCAAUACUGCUUGGCUAGAGUAUUGGAGAGGUGAGUGGAAUUCACGGUGUAGCAGUGAAAUGCGUAGAUAUUGUGAGGAAGACCAGCGGCGAAGGCGGCUCACUGGACAAUUACUGACGCUGAUGCUCGAAGGCCAGGGGAGCAAACGGGAUUAGAUACCCCCGUAGUCCCUGUCUCUUAUAA
rnacentral:rRNA from 1 species